rnacentral:rRNA from 1 species
GACGAACGCUGGCGGCGUGCCUAAUACAUGCAAGUCGAGCGAGUGAACCUAACAGAUUCCUUCGGGGAGACGUUAGGGGAUCUAGCGGCGGAUGGGUGAGUAACACGUGGGCAACCUACCUGUAAGAUCGGGAUAACUUGCGGAAACGUGAGCUAAUACCGGAUAAAGCUUCACAUUGCAUGAUGUGGAGAUGAAAGACGGUUUUGCUGUCACUUACAGAUGGGCCCGCGGCGCAUUAGCUAGUUGGUGGGGUAAUGGCUCACCAAGGCGACGAUGCGUAGCCGACCUGAGAGGGUGAUCGGCCACACUGGGACUGAGACACGGCCCAGACUCCUACGGGAGGCAGCAGUAGGGAAUCUUCCGCAAUGGACGAAAGUCUGACGGAGCAACGCCGCGUGAGCGAUGAAGGUCUUCGGAUCGUAAAGCUCUGUUGUCAGGGAAGAACAAGUACGAGAGUAACUGCUCGUACCUUGACGGUACCUGACCAGAAAGCCACGGCUAACUACGUGCCAGCAGCCGCGGUAAUACGUAGGUGGCAAGCGUUGUCCGGAAUUAUUGGGCGUAAAGGGCUCGCAGGCUGUCUCUUAAGUCUGAUGUGAAAUCUUGCGGCUUAACCGCAAGCGGUCAUUGGAAACUGGGGGACUUGAGUGCAGAAGAGGAGAGUGGAAUUCCACGUGUAGCGGUGAAAUGCGUAGAGAUGUGGAGGAACACCAGUGGCGAAGGCGGCUCUCUGGUCUGCAACUGACGCUGAGGAGCGAAAGCGUGGGGAGCGAACAGGAUUAGAUACCCUGGUAGUCCACGCCGUAAACGAUGAGUGCUAGGUGUUAGGGGGUUUCCGCCCCUUAGUGCUGGAGUUAACGCAUUAAGCACUCCGCCUGGGGAGUACGGCCGCAAGGCUGAAACUCAAAAGAAUUGACGGGGACCGCACAAGCGGUGGAGCAUGUGGUUAAUUCGAAGCACGCGAAGANCUUACCAGGUCUUG